rnacentral:misc_RNA from 1 species
AAGUCGUAACAAGGUUUCCUUCACCUAUUGAAGCCUUCAGCAGCGACUGUAAAGAAAUGCGUAGUUUGCUUGCAAGCAAUGCCACUCAAAUGCUGAGACAUAUGAAUCAGCAGCCUUUUAGGCUCACAGAUCAAAUUGUGGUAACCAUUCUUAUGGGCAAGAUAUGACCGGUCUUAACUAGAGUUAGUUAAGAAUCCACGUUCCGUAGGUGAACCUGCGGAAGGAUCAUUAUUGAAUUAUAAGCAGAGGUUUGUUGCUGGCCCCUCGGGGAAUGUGCACGCCCGAGCUCUUAAUCCACUC